GUAUAGGUUGAUCUCAACAAUGGAUAUGUAUGUGAAAAGUCUCCACUUCUGUAAAGAAUUAGUGGGCCAGUUGCGUAGUUGCUGUGCAAGCAUGACUGUGUGAGUUUAGAGUCCCCAUCGCCAACAUUAGAUGAGCAGAUGUGGUAGCCCCACAGAUGGAGGCAGAGAGAUGAUUAGAGCUGGUUAGCCAAUCAGGAGCUCCAAGCCCAGUGAGAGCUCUUCUUUCCAAAAGUAAGAUGAAGAGGGAUAGGAGGCAGUGUGUGACAGCAAACUCUGGCCUCCACAUUCAUGAGCAUACUCAAGCACACUCAUGAGCAUGUAUACACAUACACACAUCUAUACAAAGGAAUCGAUGACACUCGCUGCCAGGAAAUAGUCUAUCUUAAGAUUCAAGAAUGGCUUCCUACUAAUACAUUACAGCACAGCAAUGCUUCAAAAGAGACAAGCAUAUGGUAAUUUCAUCAGAUGUCAAAAAAGUAGGGCACAACACAACAUAUUACUCACAGAUGAUGAAGAAAGCCCCAGGAAACUAAGAACAAUCUUUCUGCAGAUGGUUUUAAGUGCCAUGAAACGUCAGCAGGCUGGAGGCUAACGGUGGAGCAUCAGAGACAAUCCCAAUUCCCACCAGGAACACGACCAAGAUUCCUGCUGCUGCCACCACUGCCUCCCUUUCUUACGAACGCACUGUCCAGCACACUCUGCUAAGAAAUGGAAAGAGGCUGUGUGGAUAUUUGAAGAGAGAACAAAAUUAUCAUUAUUUGCAGAUGACAUAAUUAAAUACAGAGGAACAUCCAGCUGAGAAGCUGGAAGGAGAACUAACGUAGCUCCGAGAAUGAAAGCUGUGAGGUUCGCUUCUUCUAUGAGUAAUAAUAGAAUCCACACUGACUUGGUAAAGACAAGCUGCAAAUGCACCCCGUCACUACCACCGCCUUCAUCCUGACUCCAAACACAUUCCAGCAUGUGACAUCAGGAGCUCAACAUUUGAAUACCAAAAGCUACACAGAGAUCCCAUUUGGAGUAAACAAAAUUUCAGUGAGUGGCGGGUAUGCGAUAUGGAGACAGGGUCAACAGAAUUCCAAGGAUCUUGCAGAUCUUCCUAUACUCAUCAAGAGUUGCAGGUUAGCAAAUUGGAGUAAGAACUGGAAACACUGAAGCACCUGCACAGUGGCAGCGAGAGCAAGGAGGGAGAGGCUGCAUUCAGAAAAGGCAGUGAAAGCCCAAUCUCUGGCCCCAAAGUCAUCCCCUCUGGAUUUCUGUGGUCUCAGCCCAAAUGCAGGAUCACUGAGGAGACCUAGGUCCUCACUGUGCGUCCACAGGGCAGCAAGGUUCCAUCUCUGUGUUGUAGGGUAACAACAGAACAGUUCAACAAUAUUAGCUUUCCUCAUAUCUUGUUUGUGUCUUUAUUGGGGUAUCUAGGUCAGACUCAAGAUUGCUCAUCAGGGGUUCAUCUCAGUGACAAAUCAGAGGCACUUUAGUUCUUAAUGCACAAGUGGAUCUCCUCUGAAGAUCCACUUUGGUGAAGCAGGGGAUCUGCUUUUUGUUACAGGCAAAGAAGCACUAACCUUAGAUAGUUGUCAAAAAAUCCCUACAGGGGUCUUCAGGGGUCUGGACUUUGAAGGUCUGCUGAUUGUAAGCUUGGGUCCAAGAAGAAGCUGAAUUCACCAUUUGGGAAACAUUCAAGCACAUAGCCGCAGAGCCCGGUUUGGAAUGGGCAAUAAAUCGCAGCGGGAUGGCUGUCUCUUGGGAUUA
rnacentral:lncRNA from 1 species